rnacentral:rRNA from 1 species
CUACGGGAGGCUGCAGUAAGGAAUAUUGGUCAAUGGACGAAAGUCUGAACCAGCCAUGCCGCGUGGAGGAUGAAGGUCCUCUGGAUUGUAAACUUCUUUUAUAUGGGACGAAAAAAGGCUUUACUAAGUCGUCUGACGGUACCAUAUGAAUAAGCACCGGCUAACUCCGUGCCAGCAGCCGCGGUAAUACGGAGGGUGCAAGCGUUAUCCGGAUUCACUGGGUUUGAAGGGUGCUUAGUAGGUCAGUUAUGAAAUCCCCGAGCUUAACUUGGGAACUGCCAUUGAUACUAUCAGUCUUGAAUACCGUGGAGGUCAGCGGAAUAUGUCAUGUAGCGGUGAAAUGCUUAGAUAUGACAUAGAACACCAAUUGCGAAGGCAGCUGGCUACCCGAAUAUUGACACUGAGGCACGAAAGCGUGGGGAUCAAACAGGAUUAGAUACCCGAGUAGUC